GCCUGUAGCUCAGUCGGUUAGAGCGCUGUACUUAUAAUGCAGAUGUCGAGGGUUCGAAUCCCUCCAGGGGCA